CUGUCUGUCGUCCCUGACGCGUGACGCGGCUGACGCCUGACAUUUACAGCUUUGACUGUGAUGUAUCAUGGUAAUAUGUUUAUCUAAAAGCAGAGAGAUUUUGUGGCAUUGCAGAGAGCGAAUAAGCGGAAUGGAAAAAUAGAUGCAAGGUCAGAUGACUCUGGCAAGAUAUAGCCUAGAAUAGAUGCUAUUAUACCAUGCCUGAUGCAUGAUUGUUGCAGCCUCUUCAAUUGAAUGAACAAAGACAAAAGUUACAAAGACAACUACAAUCCUACAGCAUCGAAAGUGUUAAAAGAAGACAAUUGCUUACCAUUUGCUGGCAAAUAUGGAAUUGGGAUCUUGCUUAAAAGUACUUGAUACCUUUUUCAUGGGAAACCUCAUUUCACAUUCUUCUGCCAUUUUGAUUUACUUUUAUCAAAGUGUCAACCAUUUUUUUAGUCUGUAGACUGACAAAUUCAGGAUGAGUUUACUUCCAAGCAUUGACACAACAUACAUCUCCAUACAGAAAAAAAUGUGUUGGUGAAUGUUGUCAAGAAUGCAGAUGAUACCAAUAUAUACUUCUGAAUUCAGGAAUUUAGUUAAUUUACUGUGAUAUCAACCUAAGCAAAAUCUUCAUAUGUGAAGUGCUUUCAGACUUCAUUGGUGCCGAAUUUUUGAGUAUAUUAUCACCAGAACGUCAUACAAAAUAACUUGGGCAGAAAACAGAUACCUUUGGACAAUGGUUACACCAAGGGCAGUGAAUGCAUUUCUCUUUUCACCAUUGGUCAGCUGACUUGCCUUCCCAGUUGCAAUGAAGAAGAAUGAUUAGUCAAAAGUAUUAAAAGGCUGUAGGCCGUACUGAUCAAAACAAAUUUAAACAAACGAUCAUUUUUUUAACAAUCAUAAAGGAAACAAGCAACAGUUAUGGUUCGUUUGGUUGGAGCCCUUUGUCAACAAAGGGAGAGAGGACGAAGUCAAACGUAUCCGAAAGGUACGGGGUUACAAGAUGGAAGCUUAGCCACGGUUUAUUGUCAAACAAAUAGACACGACUGUCGGAGCCCUUUGUGCGCAGGGCAUUUGACGAACCGGGCACUCAAAUGACGCUAAAGACUUUUCACUUUGCUUGUGUGGCACCGAUGAACAUCACACAGGAACUUUCUGGAUUAAGGAAAUCAUUAACGCCCUAAAGGCCUUUAGUACACCUGUUAUCUCCACCCAGCUUCUAAUUGUUGACGACCCGGAAUAUGCGCGACAAGUUAAAGGAAGGAUCGAAAACAAUUUUCGGAGAACUAAAUUAAACAAUUUUUCGUUAUCAAUAUUUUUCAAUUGUCUUUUUAUGUGACGGGAUAUUUCGAUGAAGUAUAACUGCCUGAUUAUUUUUAAUGUCGAUUAAAUUAGACAUUAACCGAAUCCGCUUGCUAAAACUCGAGGUGGCUGCAAAUUCUAUCUAGUAGAGCCUCUGUAUACAUGUAAACUGAAAAUAAAGCCUGCUUUCAUCGAAGUCAUUAGUGAAACAAUACAAAUUGUAAAGCUGUGCUCCAUCUGCAAAAUCGUCAAUGUAUCUGUGAGGCAGUACCUCAAAGAACAAUUGCCUAGGGACUUCAUACAGGGUUUGCCAACUGCUAGCCGAGCUGUCAUCAACAUCGACGAUACAAGGAAACCGCAUAGAUAGUGUGUUUAUCUGUUAACUGCUUCAAAUUGACUCAGAAUUAGGCAGCAAUUUUGGAAGUUGUUGCUUUCUCAGUAUGAAUGAGCUUCAAUGUUGGUGUUGCAGGUGUUACCCAUGUUACGUUGACUGUUUGGAUUCCUAUUCAUUAACAUUUCAAAACCAAAUUCAUCUUCUUAAAAUUGACUCGAAAGGAUUUAGAUCAUUCUAGGAAAAUAUCUAUCAAAGAUGCAAAGCUCUAAUGGGAUUAAUUUAUCCGUCAAGUACGUUUUCAUUUGCAGUCUGUAUGUCCUUUCCGAAGGCUCUGCCAGAAGAAUAUGCUAAAUAAUGAAUUUAUGAAUCGCGUUCCUUGGUUGGGGCGAGAUACCGAAUAAAGUUUAAUGAUUGGAUGCACUA